rnacentral:sRNA from 1 species
UUUGCCUAGGACACCCUCAGUCUCAACUGCACUCUCCCCGAGACUUUGCCCAUGACUCCCUCAUUCUAGCUGUCCUUUCUCUGAUUUCCAGGCCUGGCCCGAGCCAAGUCAAUCCCAACAAAGACAUACUCCAAUGAGGUGGUGACACUGUGGUACCGGCCCCCUGACAUCCUGCUUGGGUCCACGGACUACUCCACUCAGAUUGACAUGUGGGGUGUGGGCUGCAUCUUCUAUGAGAUGGCCACAGGCCGUCCCCUCUUUCCGGGCUCCACGGUGGAGGAACAGCUACACUUCAUCUUCCGUAUCUUAGGAACCCCAACUGAGGAGACGUGGCCAGGCAUCCUGUCCAACGAGGAGUUCAAGACAUACAACUACCCCAAGUACCGAGCCGAGGCCCUUUUGAGCCACGCACCCCGACUUGAUAGCGACGGGGCCGACCUCCUCACCAAGCUGUUGCAGUUUGAGGGUCGAAAUCGGAUCUCCGCAGAGGAUGCCAUGAAACAUCCAUUCUUCCUCAGUCUGGGGGAGCGGAU